AGCUCAAGUAUGUUUUCAUUACCCAUAAAUCUUUCACCUUUUACAAAAGAUAUCCGUGGAGAGGAUCUGUUCUGAGUUUUCUCUGUUUUUGAAGCAGAGCUCCAGAAGUUUGU